UGGAGCGGACGCAUGAUCGCUUCGGCCUGUUGCCGGGGAGGAAAGUCCGAACUCCGCAGGGCAGGAUGGUUCGUAACACGAACUGGGGGCAACCCCGAGGAAAGUGCCACAGAAAAUAUACCGCCUCGAUUUAUCGGGGUAAGGGUGAAAAGGUGGGGUAAGAGCUCACCGCUUUCAUGGUGACAUGAAAGGCAUGGCAAACCCCAUCCGGAGCAAGACCAAAUAGGGGAACGCUUGAGGGCGGCUCGUCCGAAGUUCCCGGGUAGGUUGCUAGAGGUGCCGGGCGAUCGGCAUCCCAGAUAAAUGAUCAUGGCUCGUUUCGACGGGUACAGAAUUCGGCUUAUAAGCCGCUCCAAAUU
rnacentral:RNase_P_RNA from 1 species